rnacentral:rRNA from 1 species
AGAGUUUGAUCCUGGCUCAGGAUGAACGCUAGCGGCAGGCCUAACACAUGCAAGUCGAGGGGCAGCAUUUCCAGCUUGCUGGAAGAUGGCGACCGGCGCACGGGUGCGCAACGCGUAUGGAACCUGCCCUCUGCAGGGGAAUAGCCCAUGGAAACGUGGAUUAAUGCCCCAUAGUACCGUUGACCGGCAUUGGUCUUCGGUUAAAGCCUUCGGGCGGCAGGGGAUGGCCAUGCGUACCAUUAGCUAGUUGGUAAGGUAACGGCUUACCAAGGCCACGAUGGUUAGGGGCCCUGAGAGGGGGAUCCCCCACACUGGUACUGAGACACGGACCAGACUCCUACGGGAGGCAGCAGUGAGGAAUAUUGGACAAUGGGCGAGAGCCUGAUCCAGCCAUGCCGCGUGCAGGAAGACGGCCCUAUGGGUCUUAAACUGCUUUUGUACGGGAAGAAAAAGGGGCACGUGUGCCCUGUUGACGGUACCGUAAGAAUAAGGACCGGCUAACUCCGUGCCAGCAGCCGCGGUAAUACGGAGGGUCCGAGCGUUAUCCGGAAUUAUUGGGUUUAAAGGGUCCGUAGGCGGGCCAUUAAGUCAGGGGUGAAAGUCUGCGGCUCAACCGCAGAACUGCCUUUGAUACUGGUGGUCUUGAGUUAUGGUGAAGUGGCCGGAAUAUGUAGUGUAGCGGUGAAAUGCAUAGAUAUUACAUAGAACACCGAUCGCGAAGGCAGGUCACUAACCAUUUACUGACGCUGAUGGACGAAAGCGUGGGGAGCGAACAGGAUUAGAUACCCUGGUAGUCCACGCCGUAAACGAUGGAUACUAGCUGUCCGGGGCCUUGAGUCCUGGGCGGCCAAGCGAAAGUGAUAAGUAUCCCACCUGGGGAGUACGUUCGCAAGAAUGAAACUCAAAGGAAUUGACGG